GCGCUACAGCAAAUACAUAUUCGUAUAAUUCCGGGGAUUGGCCUGGAAGUCUCUACGAGGUCACCGUAAUGACCUGGCUACGAUUAAGAAGAGCAGCUUA
rfam:Paenibacillus sp. IHB B 3415 contig_121, whole genome shotgun sequence.